UACGUAGGGGGCUAGCGUUGUCCGGAAUCAUUGGGCGUAAAGUGCGUGUAGGCGGUCCGGUAAGUCCGCUGUGAAAGUCGGGGGCUCAACCUCGAGACGUCGAUGGAAACCAUCUGGCUAGAGUCCGGAAGAGGAGAGUGGAAUUCCUGGUGUAGCGGUGAAAUGCGCAGAUAUCAGGAAGAACACCUAUGGCGAAGGCAGCUCUCUGGGACGGUACUGACGCUGAGACGCGAAAGCGUGGGGAGCGAACAGG
rnacentral:rRNA from 1 species